AGUGAACGCUGGCGGCGUGCCUAAUACAUGCAAGUCGAACGAAUUGGCGCACGGGUGAGUAAUAUAUAGUUAAUCUGCCCUACACAGAGGAACAACAGUUGGAAACGACUGCUAAUACCUCUUAGUGUAGGAUGAGACUAUAUCGUAUCAGCUAGUUGGUAAGGUAAUGGCUUACCAAGGCUAUGACGCGUAACUGGUCUGAGAGGAUGAUCAGUAACAUUGGAAGGGAGGCACGGUCAAAACUCCUACGGGAGGCAACAGUAAGGAAUAUGGCGCAAUGGGGGAAACCCUGACGCAGCAACGGCGCGUGGAGGAUGACACUUAGAGGAGAGUAAACUCCUUAUAUAAGGAAAGCGGUACCUGAUGAAUAAGCACCGGCUAACUCCGUGCCAGCAGCCGCGGUAAUAC
rnacentral:rRNA from 1 species